rnacentral:lncRNA from 1 species
AGCCCCAGCCGCUCUCUUCCCUCCCUCCCCUCAUCAGUCAUCAGUUCGUUGGUCAUUGAGAGAGAGAGAGGGCGCGUUUCUUGGCCAUGGCGUUGCCGCCGUGCGGGUGGCCAUGUAGUUCGCUUCGAAUAAGACUUUCUGUUUCAGCAACUCCAUUUCACCAAGUGAACCAGGUAUAUAAAAGCUUUCUCUCCCUCACUCGUGGACGCGGUUCUGUAUUUGGUCUGUUUUAGUCGAGGAUGGGUCACGAAAUUUGAAUGACGAAAUCGCGAGGAAGCUUGAAUGAAAUAGCACAUUGCUGAAUGAGUGGUCUGAUCAUAAAGCAUAUACAUCUGUUUUAGAUUGAAAAUCAUGCCAAAGUUGAAUCAAAAGCUUGUUCUUGGUGCUGAACAUCACCCGUUCGCUAAAAUGCCUACAAGAAGAUCGAAUUUUUUUUAUUUAUUUAUGUUGGAGCUCGAGAUUGAUUCAUAUUUGCGUUCAUAUUCGUCGAAUCAUAUUUGCUUAUUCGUGUUUUCCUUGUUUUUUUUAUGUGAUUUGGUGGAAAAAUCUUGCUUGAGUCAGUCGUGUAUGAAUUUCUUGUGUCAGAAUACUUCGUCGGACCUACCUAUAGAAACUGAGAACCUAGUUGUAUAGGCGACCUAUUCAAUGAAGGUUAAGAUUUUACCUCUCAAAAGUACUCAAUCUUUUUCAUACAAAUUCUUCUAACGGGUUGAUUGGAAAAUAUUCCUUUGAAUACUAUCCAACGGUUAGUUUGAAAGUAAAGAAAUAUAAAAAAAGACCAAAGUGCUAAAGAAAAUAGAAGUCUAGAGUAAAAAAUUCCAAUGUCUAUGUGAACUUCGAUCUUGCGUAUUUGUCUUUCUUGAGCUAUAAAUUGUAAUCUUAGAGAAACACUAAAAGUGUGAUUGAGUGAGAUAAUGAGACCUGUCAUAUACUUGAGUUAAUUCAUUUACAGUUGAAACCUCUAAUUGAUUAUCAAAUGGAAUCUAGCCAGUAGGCUAUCAAGGUGGAAGAGUAGACAUAGGCUUCACUUAAGCCGGACCAAAAUAAAAUUUGCGUGCAAUUUUAUCUAUUUCUUUACUCUUGUUUAUUGUUUAUGGUAGACAUUUGCACACCGGUUGCCAUUAUCACGAUCAAAGUUCAAAUUAUGAUUUCACUUGAUUAUGAAGUUACUCAUGAAGUUACUCAUGAAGUUACAAAUUUGUUAAGAGUUUUUAAAUUCGCCUUUUCACUCACCUCUAGGUAACAUUGCCAACCUCGAACAAUGUACACUAUGACAACCAAUGUGCGAUAUAUCUAGCAUAUAAUUUGAUUUAUCAUGAGCGAAUGAAACAUAUCAAUAUCAAGUACCAUUUUAUCCAAGAUAUCUUAGCGAAUGGUAACGUUGUUCACAACGGAGAACCUAGCAAACAUAAUGACCAAACAUGAUGACCAAAUCUGUUCAUAGAGAGUGAGAGCCUAUCGGGACGUUGGGAGAGUAGUAUGAAUGAUGAUCAUUAUAACUUGAUUUGAAAUAUUGAGUCAAGGUGUAUAAUUAUUAAAUUAUGUCUCAAAUUUGAACUCGUGUGCACUUUCCCAUUUAGAAGAAGAAGAAAUCCUCUGCCACUACAAGACCAAAAAACAAGGGCUCACAUAUUCUAUUAUAUAUAUUUACUUAUUUUUUGGUGGUGAAGUUCUCCGCAAUCAUCACCAAAGAAGGACUCUUGCUUCCAUAUUACCGCACGAUAUGAGGAGGACUUUCUUGUCCUUUUGUGCUGAUGAAAAGGGUUUACUACGGGGACGAAUAAAAAGACAUGGAGUUUCUUCUUGACAGUAGCCGCACUGUAGAAGUCAUAGAAGGACGAACGAGAAGGACGGACACGAUGACAUUGUGACACUCACUCUUGAGUUCUGUACACAAUGAUUUUGUGCUUUGGAUUUACAUCAAUUGAGUUGUUUAUUUGCAAAUACUUUGAGUUUAGGCUCAAAUCUAGGUGUGAAAAACAUUCGAGCAUAUCAAAGAUUGUAAACUCUAAUUCUUGAAUUAUAAUAGAUUAUUUGUGGGUGACUUUCUCGG